rnacentral:rRNA from 1 species
GAUGAACGCUGGCGGCGUGCCUAAUACAUGCAAGUCGAACGAAAAGAGGAGCUUGCUUCUCUUUUAGUGGCGAACGGGUGAGUAAUACAUAAGCAACCUACCGAUUCGACCGGGAUAACAGUUGGAAACGACUGCUAAUACCGGAUAGGUGCGCGGGGGACAUCCCCUGCACAUUAAAGCUGGGACACAGCGCGAAUGGAUGGGCUUAUGGCGCAUUAGUUAGUUGGCGGGGUAACGGCCCACCAAGACGAUGAUGCGUAGCCGACCUGAGAGGGUGACCGGCCACACUGGGACUGAGACACGGCCCAGACUCCUACGGGAGGCAGCAGUAGGGAAUUUUCGGCAAUGGGCGCAAGCCUGAUCCAGCCAUGCCGCGUGUGUGAAGAAGGCCUUUUGGUUGUAAAGCACUUUAAGUGGGGAGGAGGCUUACCUGGUUAAUACCUGGGCUAAGUGGACGUUACCCACAGAAUAAGCACCGGCUAACUCUGUGCCAGCAGCCGCCGUAAAAC